AGCGCACGGUAGCUUCGCGCCAC
rnacentral:siRNA from 1 species